rnacentral:rRNA from 1 species
UACGGAGGAUGCGAGCGUUAUCCGGAUUUAUUGGGUUUAAAGGGUGCGUAGGCGGACGCUUAAGUCAGCGGUAAAAUUGCGGGGCUCAACCUCGUCGAGCCGUUGAAACUGGGUGCCUUGAGUGGGCGAGAAGUACGCGGAAUGCGUGAUGUAGCGGUGAAAUGCAUAGAUAUCACGCAGAACUCCGAUUGCGAAGGCAGCGUACCGGCGCCCUACUGACGCUGAAGCACGAAGGCGUGGGUAUCGAACAGG